rnacentral:rRNA from 1 species
UACGGGGGGGGCAAGCGUUGUUCGGAAUUACUGGGCGUAAAGGGCUCGUAGGCGGCCAACUAAGUCAUACGUGAAAUCCCUCGGCUUAACCGGGGAACUGCGUCUGAUACUGGAUGGCUUGAGUUCGGGAGAGGGAUGCGGAAUUCCAGGUGUAGCGGUGAAAUGCGUAGAUAUCUGGAGGAACACCGGUGGCGAAGGCGGCGUUCUGGACUGCUACUGACACUGAGGAACGAAAGCCAGGGGAGCAAACGGG